ACCUGCUUGUGGUUGUGUGGCUUUUCCAAGGUCAGAGUCAUGGUGCUGGCUGUUCCAGCCCUGGAGGACACAGUUUUUGAGCUCCUAUCUGUAAAGUCUAGUUGCAAAUUGAUCCUGGAGAUGAUUGGCACAGGAAUGCCAUUUGUUUUUAAAGGGAAUUACCCAUCCCAGCUGCUUCUGGGGCUUAGCAAAGCCCAGAAUAGCACACGUAAAUAAUCUUAUAAUGAUGACCCUUUUUACUUUGCUGCCCACAACACGAGAGGCCCAAAGGAAUUAGGCAAAUGACAGCAGUAACUUCCCCACUAGCAAGCAGAGGUCCCCUCAGAGGUUUUGUGUACAGCAGCAAAAUGUCCUUUCUGCAGCAAGUCCCAGAAAUCCCACCCCAGUAAAGAGCAUCCGAGCUGCAGGCAGGGCCUUCACUUUGGGCAGGAGCUUUAGACAAGCCUCCUAAAGUAUACAGGAACAAAAGCUGGGUUUGUUUUUUUUUUGCCCAGUUUUAGUUUUCAUGGCUUUUAUUGAUUUUUGGAUCACUGAGCUGAUGUGGGAAACAGGCUUCUGCUAAAGGUGAACAGGAAAGUUGCAGCUUUGUAUCACAAUCUCCGCAGUUUGCUCUCCCAACAGAUAAUUCUGCACCUGCAAAAACAUUGGUCGCUUUGUGCCUCUUUAUUAUGUUUGGGGAGGGAGGAAAAGACCCAUCUGAUCUUUCCAGGGUAGGUUUGAAGGUCAGAAAUCAGUGAGAAAAAGCAGAUUUCCUCUCCCUGCUGACUUGUAAGUGCCCUACAGCUCAUCCUGGAGCCAAGGUGGCUCGGCAUUGCCACCAAUAGUUAGGGAGAUACCCUGACAGUGUUUGGAGCUGUGUGAUGGCCCAGGGCUCACUGCAAGCUUCAUCCUGGUGCAGUGCAGUCUGCACCUUGCCACCAUCACCCCUGUCCUCUGAGAGCCACCUUCCCUGGGGUCUACACAUAUAUAUGGGAAAGAGGCGUGUAUCACGGCAGUGCAGAAGUGUGGCAGCACACCCCUCACUUCCAGAGGAUGCUCUACAGAAGGUUCUGUGCUCCUGAGGCUAACCAGAGAAAAGAAGACUUGGUGUCUGCUUCCAGCAUGUACCCAUCUGUCCCAAAACCUGCACGGAGAGGGAGACAUGGAUCCCUGGAGAGUGUGGUGAGUGCUGAGCAGUCAGGAGGGAUGGCAGGACCUUCCUGCUUUGGCCUUCAGACUAAUCCCUCAGUUCAGCUGCCCCUUGCUGACCAUCCCUGAGCUCUACCAGCCCCAUUCCAUGCCCCAUUGCAGGUGGGUGCCAUGGGAAGGGGUUUUACCCCAGGCUGGGGCAGGAGAAAGAGCCCUAAACCAGCUUCUGGGCAGGAGCAGCUCCCAGCCCCAUGAGUCUGCAAAACCCACCCCUAUCUCAGCACUGUUAUCUUCCAACGGGGUAAAUAUUUUGUGAAUGCAUUGGAAGGAGGAGGACUGGUAAACGUGGUUUUGCUGGAAAAUGUUACUGUGUUGGGAACAGGGAUGGCUGAACUCCCCCUUAUCUGUGCUGGCUGAGGAGCAGGGGGCAGCUGGGGGGUCCUCCAAUGGCACUGGCAGCAACGCUGCACCACAAACCAACUUGCCCUUCUGCACUAAACCAAAGCAUUUUAGUUAUUUGCCUUCAGUUCUGCUGUUUGUCUGCCUUCUGUAUUUAUUAUUCAGUGCUGUUUUUCUUCUCCCUGCCCCGUGCUCCAGCAAUUAAGAUAACAUUGGCUUUGGUUGGGCUCAGAGCAUCCCGUCGGUGUGCAGGGAACAUCAGUGCCACUCUGUGGGCAGUGGGAUGCUGGAAAAAAUACCCCAUGUCCCAUGUUCCCAUUUAAAAUCCCUACUAAAACCUGAACCUGAUGGCAAAAGCAUUAUAAUGAAACAGGGACUUAAAUCAUGCUUAGCCUGAGCUGCUGUGGAGAGGUGGUGUUUGAACUGUCUUCCUAAGUUAAAUUACUUUAUAAAAUAAUAUCUGUUAACAGAAUAUCAAACCUUUUCUCUCUAAUUUGAA